GACGAACGCUGGCGGCGUGCUUAACACAUGCAAGUCGGACGCUGAAGCUUGGUGCUUGCACUGGGUGGAUGAGUGGCGAACGGGUGAGUAAUAAGUGAGUAACCUGCCCUUGACUCUGGGAUAAGCCUGGGAAACUGGGUCUAAUACUGGAUACGACAUGUCACCGCAUGGUGGUGUGUGGAAAGGGUUUUACUGGUUUUGGAUGGGCUCACGGCCUAUCAGCUUGUUGGUGGGGUAAUGGCUCACCAAGGCGACGACGGGUAGCCGGCCUGAGAGGGUGACCGGCCACACUGGGACUGAGACACGGCCCAGACUCCUACGGGAGGCAGCAGUGGGGAAUAUUGCACAAUGGGCGGAAGCCUGAUGCAGCGACGCCGCGUGAGGGAUGACGGCCUUCGGGUUGUAAACCUCUUUCAGCACGGAAGAAGCGAAAGUGACGGUACGUGCAGAAGAAGCGCCGGCUAACUACGUG
rnacentral:rRNA from 1 species